rnacentral:lncRNA from 1 species
AUGGAAGGAGGCGGACUGGGGGGAGGAGAGGACGGAGGAGGGAGGGAAAAUAAGCGGACUUCAGGGAAAGGCCCAGAACUGGCGAGGCAGCCACUCUUCUGGUUGGGAAGACUCUGGAAAAUCGUCCCUAUUCCUGGGGGGGACGCCCCAGGGAAGCGCCAGGCCCCGACGACCUCGCGCCGCUGGGUCCCGCAGGGCCAGGAAACACCAGGUACCUCUCACCGUCCAGGACCUUGUAGUCCACGUGCCAAGUUCAAGACCCCCUCACCCGGGUCUCCCCCGACACCGCCUGAAGUUAAAGCCCGUUCCCGUCUGUGGAUGACGGCGGGAGAAAGAGAAUGUGCUCACGUGGGGUGGAACAUCACCCUGCCUAAAAGAGCCCCUUUCUCAGCACCUUUCCCGGCCUCCGAGGCGGUCUGCCCCCCAUCCUUCCAAAGCGAGCUGAGGCCGACUCACUCCGCGGCUCAGUCGCCCCCGCCCCCGCCCAUGCCCCUCCCCCACGGCUGCUCCCCCUCCUCCCGCAGCCGCAGCUUCUUCCACGUCUGCGCCGACGCGGGGAUCUUCGUCCUGCUCGCUCCGUCCCCCUGUUGCCUGGGACAGUACUGGGCACACAGCAGGACGCAAAACCGUGCGCGCGCCGGGACCGCACGCGGGGAGGGUCGCGGGUCGGGGCCGGGCUCCCGGCGCAGCGCUCCGGCCAGGCUGCCAUCUAGCGGCGGGACCCCUCUGCAGCUUUGGGGGCCGAGAGGACAGCUGCCUAGCACGAGGGCCAGGCCCUUGGGCCAAGACGAGGUACCACCCCCGGCACCACGGCGAGCCAAGGAAGAAGGUGCCUGGGCUGCGCUCAGAUGCUCUCAUACUGCUGAAAAACCCGUUAAGAGGAGCGAUGCUCCGUGUGCAAGGGCGGCGGGCAUGGCUGGACCGGGGCACGUGGUCAGCCCUCUCUGGCACGUCCUGAUGUGGAUGAGACACCGCGUCCUCCCGGAGGCUGGGCUGAGGGUGUGA